CCUACGGGAGGCAGCAGUGAGGAAUAUUGGUCAAUGGACGAGAGUCUGAACCAGCCAAGUAGCGUGAAGGAUGACUGCCCUAUGGGUUGUAAACUUCUUUUAUAUGGGAAUAAAAUGUUCCACGUGUGGGAUUUUGUGUGUACCCUAUGAAUAAGGAUCGGCUCAAUCCGUGCCCGAAGCCGCGGUAAUACGGAGGAUCCGCGCGUUAUACGGAUUUAUUGGGUUUAAAGGGAGCGUAGGUGGUUUGUUAAGUCAGUUGUGAAAGUUUGCGGCUCAACCGUAUAAUUGCAGUUGAAACUGGCAGUCUUGAGUACAGUAGAGGUGGCCGGAAUUCGUGGUGUAGCGGUGAAAUGCUUAGAUAUCACGAAGAACUCCGAUUGCGAAGGCAGGUCACUGGACUGCAACUGACACUGAGGCUCGAAAGUGUGGGUAUCAAACAGGAUUAGAUACCCUGGUAGUC
rnacentral:rRNA from 1 species